GACAGAGGAUGCAAACGUUGUUCGGAAUUACUGGGCGUAAAGCGCACGUAGGCGGCUUUGUAAGUUAGAGGUGAAAGCCCGGAGCUUAACUCCGGAACUGCCUUUAAGACUGCAUCGCUAGAAUCGUGGAGAGGUGAGUGGAAUUCCGAGUGUAGAGGUGAAAUUCGUAGAUAUUCGCAAGAACACCAGUGGCGAAGGCGGCUCACUGGCCCGAUACUGACGCUGAGGUGCGAAAGCGUGGGGAGCAAACAGG
rnacentral:rRNA from 1 species